rnacentral:lncRNA from 1 species
AUUAAAAGCAAGUCCCAGCCAGGUGUGGUGGCUCAUGCCUGUAAUCCCAGCACUUUGGGAGGCCGAGGCAGGCGGAUCACUUGAGACUUUGUGCUCCAUCAGUUGAAGAGUAGGAUGAAGAAAAAAAAAAAAGGUUACAUGAAGAUGAUGGAAUUAUAAUCAGGCCUUGAAGAACGGAGACAAUUCCAGCCAUUGUUGUAGAUGUGGAGGCUGAAGGACAUUCCAAUUUGAAGGAACAGAAGAUGGGAUCUCACUCUGCUGCCCAGGCUGGUCUCCUCCUGCCUUGGCCUCCCAAAGUGUUGGAAUUACAAGUGUGAGCCACUGUGCCUGGCCCUGAAUAAGUUUCUUGACCCAGAGUUCCUGAAGAGGAGGAUGGGAACCUUGGAGGCUGUUUCUCCAGGCUGAUGGAGUUUCGCUCUUGUUGCCCAGGCUAGAGUGCAAUGGCGCGAUCUCAGCUCACUGCAACCUCUGCCUCCUGGGUUCAAGCAAUUCUCCUGCCUCAUCCUCCUGAGUAGCUGAGAUUACAGUGAUGGAGUCUUGUUGUGUUGCCCAGCCUGGCGUCUAACCCCU